CCUUGGGCUGCUGUGGCUGUCUCAUUUCCUGGCCCUGGGAGAGCAUAUUCUUGUUUAUUGGCAAAACUGUCACCAUUUAACUGGUAUCAGACCCUGACUGGCAGCAUUU
rnacentral:snoRNA from 1 species